UGGCUCUGAGUGGUAUAUGUGGUC
rnacentral:piRNA from 1 species